rnacentral:rRNA from 1 species
UACAGAGGUCUCAAGCGUUGUUCGGAUUCAUUGGGCGUAAAGGGUGUGUAGGUGGCGCGCUAAGUCGGGUGUGAAAUUUCGAAGCUUAACUCCGAAACUGCAUUCGAUACUGGCGUGCUUGAGGACUGGAGAGGAGACUGGAAUUUACGGUGUAGCGGUGAAAUGCGUAGAUAUCGUAAGGAAGACCAGUGGCGAAGGCGGGUCUCUGGACAGUUCCUGACGCUGAGGCACGAAGGUCAGGGGAGCAAACGGG